rnacentral:rRNA from 1 species
GACAGAGGGGGCAAGCGUUGCUCGGAAUCACUGGGCGUAAAGCGCGUGUAGGCGGCUUAUUAAGUCGGACGUGAAAUCCCUUGGCUCAACCAAGGAACUGCGUCCGAUACUGCUAAGCUUGAGUGUCGGAGGGGGUGGCGGAAUUCCCGGUGUAGAGGUGAAAUUCGUAGAUAUCGGGAGGAACACCUGUGGCGAAGGCGGCCACCUGGGAAGACAACUGACGCUGAAGACGCGAAAAGCGUGGGGGAGCAAAACAGGG